AAGCGGUGGCUCCACUGGAGGAAAACACACCCCGGUCUCACAUUAAAGAAGCCAAACUGUCGGCUUCAAAGAGAAAAGGCAACAUCCUGUCACAGGCCAUGCUCUGGCAAAAACGUUGGUGUGAAAGGUACCGACUGCAAGUUUCAACUUGUAAAAACACUUGGCCGUUGGGCUCCUUUGGAAUCGUCUUGAGGCUUCAGAUUCUGAUAUUUCAUGAGCACUGCAAAGUCACUAUGAGAAGCACCCUCCCUCUUACCUGCUCAGUUGGAGUCAGUUACAGGAUUCCUUGGCAACUGGCUGUGGACACGUGCCGGGCAGUCAGGAGACCCUUGGGAGCUGUGGGAGUCCUGCAACGGCAAUAGGAAGAGGUGGGGACUUAGAGAUUGCUCCACAUAUGGUCUGUUGUGGCAGGGCACACCUGUUGACACUGAGUUCCAAGGAAGUCCAGAAAUUAGAGGGUGAUACUCUCUGUCCACAACACCUCCACCAAGCACUCUUUGUUCAUUGACUUAGAAACAGUAGGAGGUGGGAAGCCCUUUCUUGACAAGAUCCUGGAAGUGCCCAGCUGGUCCCUUU
rnacentral:sRNA from 1 species